UUUGUACCUUCUGUCUGUCUGCCUGCCUUUUUAGAUUGUUCAUUAAAUGUUGGAUGUUGGAAUUUAUUCUUCUGUCUUCACCUUCUUGCCUGCAAGCAACUGUGACACAUGCAUCUUUCAUUCAUAUUUUCACAUGGCUCCCUGCAAUACUCAAUUCUGGUUCUUCAAUCAUGCCAUCCAGCAGGCUGUUAUUCGACGAAAACAACCGCUACAACUUAAAACAGACUGCACAAGAGAGUACUGUGAGUCAUCUUGAGGUCGAAGGGGAAUAUCUCUAGCUUGGGGGUCAGGAGUUGAAACUGCCAGAUGCAAAGCCCUUCCCCCUAAAAGUCAAGACGAACCGGACCAACAUCAUCUCCUGUGGGGACAACCACCGGAUGUGUUAACUUCUAAUCUGAGAAUUUUCAUACUGGCCUUCAUGAUUUUUACCACUACACCAAAAAAUCAAGAUGAGUGCAAGGGUUUUGGGUGCAAAAUGUGCUGUUGUGUGAGAGGUGCUAAUCAACUGUAAAAGACUGGGCUCCAAUUAAGGCCCGUUAGCCCCAGCCCACCGUCCCUGCAUGCUGUCCAAGUGGACCUGGGGGGCUGGAAACUUACCGCUCCCCAAAGCAACUUUUCGUUAACACCGCUAGGUAUCCAGGUCACUCAAGAAAAGGCUGUGAGAAAGGUCUCUUCUUAGGGCCCUUUGUCAGCCUUGGAGCAAGCACAAUUUGAGGGGACUGUCAUUUCCCCCUCUGCCGACUUAAAACAGGGAGUCCAUUGACAAACAAAGCACCCGUAUAACAACGAGAAACCAGUUGCCAGGUCCUUCAUUCCCCAAGGAUAGACCCCAUAAACUCAACUUGGGCUGAGAGUCAAGACUGGCAGAUGCACAUUUCUGUACAGCAAGCUUCUAACAGCCCUUCCCUCUAAAU